ACGAUGCCAGCGUGCUGCCGGUUGCGGGGACUGCGGAUAGAGGUGCGCUCCAUGAGGUGCUAGCUGCAGGGGAGGACGACCAUGACAUGGUAGUGGCUGCUGUGGAUAAAGGCGCGCUUGAUGAGGUGCUAGCUGCAAGGGAGGAGGACGAUGACAUGGUCGUGGCUGCUGUGGAUAAAGGUGCGCUUGGUGAGGUGCUAGCUGCAGGGGAGGAGGCCAAUGACAUGGUAGUGACUGCUGUGGA